GCAAUUAUUUUAAGAGGACAUGAGAUUUGCUAUGAUGGCCCUAUGGAAGGAAUACACUACCCAGCCGAUGAAUCAGAAUGUACCUCAAAAGGAAUAACUCUUUCUGGCCAGGAGUACAGCUUGAGUUCCUCCAGAAUGAACUCAGGUUCAUUUGAACCUAUGAUACAUGCCCAGGGAGUUCAAGACAAG